GAAAUUCAUAAGUCAUUGCAAAAUUUCGUUGCUAAUUCAUUGGUGGGAAAAAUUUUCGUUAGAAAUUCGUUGCAAAAUUUUUGGCCACUUGCUUUCCCAUCAUCGUGGGCAACGAAAGUUUUUUUGUUGCUAAAAAUGGGGCUUUAGCAUCGAUUUUUCAGGCAACGACUUAUAAAGUCGUUGCUAAAAAUGUAUGUUUAGCAACGAAAAUUGUCCUUCG
rnacentral:lncRNA from 1 species